rnacentral:rRNA from 1 species
AUGUCCACUCUUCAAGGUUGGCCAGACCUCCCGGAUGACCUGCUUCACUCCAUUAUUCCUCGACUGGGAUCCUUCCUUGACCUUCUUGCUUUCGUUGCCGCCUGCUCCUCUUGGCGUGCUGCCUUCUCCUCCUAUCCAUCCAAACAUACCCUCUUGCAAAUGUUGCCACCUCUCCUCCUCCAACCCGAUGUUCAUGAGUGCUCUCCUCAUCCUCGCCCAUUUAACAACAACCUCGUACCUAAACAUUCAUGCCAUGUCACUGAUUUAACCAACCAAGGUACUUACAUGCGUUGUCAGAUUCCCCAGUUUUCUCAUUUUGGGGGUGUUUCCUAUGGUCAUCUCAUCUUGUUUAACCAAAAUCAAUCAUGUCUUGUUAUUGAUGUCUUUACUGGUGUUAGUUUCUCAACUCCGAAACUACCGGUCGACGAAAACACUUUCCUCGACCAUGCUUCCCUCACGGCUCCUCUGGCGUCACCCAACUCAUAUCUCAUGGUCACCAAAGGACGCCACUAUUUCUUUUGGCGUGUUGGUAGUAAAUCUUGGUUGAGACGUUCUCUUCGCAAUGGAACGAUCGAGAAGGUCAUGGUCUUCAAAGGACAAGUAUUUGGCAUGGAUAAUGACCGCAGGCUCAUUAUCAUGAACUUGGUACCACGGAUCCGAAUACAGAAAAUAACAAUUGAUCCUGGUGAAAGCAUGCGCAACAAUUGGCAUCUUCCCCGCCCGUGGCUUGUUGCGUGCGGAGAUAUGCUUCUCCUGGUUGGUUGUCAUCGAUCUUUUCCAUCAACAGGGGAUACGUUUGAAGCUUUCCGCCUCGACCUAACAAGUGAACCUGCAAAGUGGGUGAAGGUGGAAAAGCUAGAAAAUUGGGCAAUCUUCAUCAGCACAGACGACAGAAGCCAGCCAUUGUGUUGCAUGAACCCAGAGAGAUGGGGAGGGAGGAGCAAUUUUAUAUACUUCUAUUUCCAUGAUUCUAAUAAUUGGAUCAAUUUUGAGCUGGACAAGCCACUGCAGGGAAAUGCCUCUACUCCAACAAUCUUUAUCUCCAUAGGCCGUGGCAGUAUGAUGCAACCUACGUGGGUUGUGCCUAGUAUGUUCUAUUCGUGA